rnacentral:rRNA from 1 species
UACGGGGGGGGGUAAGCGUUGUUCGGAAUUACUGGGCGUAAAGGGCUCGUAGGCGGCCAACUAAGUCAGACGUGAAAUCCCUCAGCUUAACUGGGGAACUGCGUCUGAUACUGGAUGGCUUGGAUUCGGGAGAGGAAUGCGGAAUUCCAGGUGUAGCGGUGAAAUGCGUAGAUAUCGGGAGGAACACCGGUGGCGAAGGCGGCAUUCUGGACCGAUAUUGACGCUGAGGAGCGAAAGCCAGGGGAGCAAACGGG